AACGAACGCUGUCGGCAGGCCUAAUACAUGCAAGUCGAACGGAUGUAGCAAUACAUUAGUGGCGCACGGGUGCCUAACGCGUGGGAACAUACCCUUGAGUAAGGAAUAAUGUCUGGAAACGGACACUAAUACCUUAUAAUGACUUCGGUCCAAAGAUUCAUCGCUCAAGGAUUGGCCCGCGUCUGAUUAGCUAGUUGGUGAGGUAACGGCUCACCAAGGCGACGAUCAGUAGCUGGUCUGAGAGGAUGAUCAGCCACACUGGGACUGAGACACGGCCCAGCCUCCUACGGGAGGCAGCAGUAAGGAAUAUUGGACAAUGGGGGAAACCCUGAUCCAGCCAUGCCGCGUGAGUGAAGAAGGCCUUAGGGUUGUAAAGCUCUCUCAAUAGUGAAGAUAAUGACGGUAGCUAUAGAAGAAGCCCCGGCUAAAUUCGUGCCAGCCGCCGCGGUAA
rnacentral:rRNA from 1 species